rnacentral:misc_RNA from 1 species
AGGAAUUGAUCAUGAAGACUCUAGCUGCACAGUUUUUGGUUUGCGUCGUUGUCUUCGUCAGUCUUGCAUUCUCCCAAGAGGAUGGAGAGGGGAGGGGACUCCCAAAAUAUGCCGUGGUCAACAAACAAAUAAAUAUCAGGGAGAUCAUCCGAUUUGGCUGGAGAAGAGGAGAGGAGGGACAAGAAGAUACUGCUAGUUUUGAAAUCCCAGAAGACAAUAGUAACUCUUGGACCUCGUUAUCUUCGCUGUUGACAAAGGCAUCCAAUGCUGCUAGCUUGAGAAAGAUGAAAACAAUGUUGCCGCUCUCCGGCUUACGGUGGUUAGACCAAACCGACAACGAUCCUGGAAAAGCCGUUGUUUGUGGACCAGAGGGAGCUCACUUUAACAUCACAUGGGAACCGAAGGUCGUCGACUCCCAGAAGUCCGUCAAGGUUGAUUUUGACAUCACUUAUCGUAAGAUAUCUCUCACUUAUGCUUUUCAUCUUUUAAAAUUGAAUGUUUUUCCAAAAAUUGAAAACUAAUUACAUUUUUCUUUCUGUUAUCAGCCAUCGACUUCGACAAGGGCCAGGUUCACUUAGAGUUAUAUCAAAAGGGUAGCAGUGACCCGAUGUUCUCCUUGGAUCAAGACAUGUCAUGCAGUCAAAUUGCUCAAGUGGCCCCAUUUGUUAAAUGCCCUCUAAAAAAGGGAAGUAAGUAAAUUAAAUUAACUUGCAUUAUUUUGCUUAAUUGAAUUAAUUUUUAAAACAUCGCUCAAUGUUAUACAUGUAUAUUGAAUCAGAGAUUAAUACUAGUUUUAGUCUUUUAUACAUUAUAUGGUGUUUUUUUUUAUUUAACAGAUAGACUUGUACAUUCUCUCGAGUACAACAAAUUAAAAGCGCUUAAACCUGUAAGUUCUUUACAUCUUUAUUUUUUUUAACUUUAUUUUUUGUAGAGAGUCAAACAAAAUAGAUUAAAUAUUUGAUUAAUGCAAUCACAUGAUGCAAUUAGGUAAAUGCUCCAUAUUGUUUUAAUCCUUUAAUUCUUCAAUCUUAUUAAAAAAACGUUGACUGAAGUAAACCUGAAUCGGUGAAACAUAUUGAUAUAUAGUUAAUGAUUUUGUGACAAUCAAAAUUUUGAUAUUUUUGUACAGGGAACGUACACCAUCGCACUUAAGAUCUUUAGCUACGAAGGAAACCCACAUCCACUCUUUGCCUGUUUGAACUUCACGGUACAGCUUGUUUAGAAAAACACGUGGACCUUGCCAUUCCAUCAUCAGAAAUAUUCAAUUAUUUCCCCCAUCAGUUAUGCUCUAACACAUUUCCUGAUGUUAACGAUAGAUAAUUAUACUAAUUAAGAUCGAGUCGGAAAAAAAUAUGGAUAAUGAUAAACAGGAAUAUGAUAGUUUUAGAAGAUAAAGUUCUAUAGGCUGUGUGAAAUGACAUUUUUCAUAUUGUUAUAAUGAUGAAACGUGUGAUAAACGUCUAUAUCUGUGUUGGUUUUCUUUGUUGUUAUUAAAUAAUCUUUUAAUAAAAUAUAAUGAUUUU